AGCAGCCGCGGUAAUUCCAGCUCCAAUAGCGUAUAUUAAAGUUGUUGCAGUUAAAAAGCUCGUAGUUGAAUUUCGGGGUUCUACCGUCGGUCGGGCCAACAAGUCUGUACUGAUGUGUAGAAUUUCUACUUUCUGGGGAACUAUCAUGUUAUUAAUUUAGCGUGGUAGGAAACCAGGACCUUUACCUUGAAAAAUUAGAGUGUUCAAAGCAGGCUUACGUCUGAAUACAUUAGCAUGGAAUAAUAAAAUAGGACGGUGGUCCUGUUUUGUUGGUUUCUGAAUCACCGUAAUGAUUAAUAGGGAUAGUUGGGGGCAUUAGUAUUCAAUUGUCAGAGGUGAAAUUCUUGGAUUUAUUGAAGACUAACUUCUGCGAAAGCAUUUGCCAAGGAUGUUUUCAUUAAUCAAGAACGAAAGUUAGGGGAUCGAAGACGAUCAGAUACCGUCGUAGUCUUAACCAUAAACUAUGCCGACUAGGGAUCGGACGAUGUUAACCUUUAUUGACUCGUUCGGCGCCUUACGG
rnacentral:rRNA from 1 species